UUGGUUAUUGAUCACAAUCAUAAUGAGAGGAAAAGAGAAAAACAAACACAUGUUCUUAAAUUUAAAUAUUUAACAAAUUCUUGAUGGUAAAAGAAACUUCAAGACAUAGAGUUGUAAAGAUUAUAAUAGUAGUACUCAGUAAGUGAUUGCUCUUCUUUUUACCUUUUGCUUCUUCUCCAUAUUUCCCCAUUGAAUUUAA
rnacentral:lncRNA from 1 species